UGUGCAGUUUAUAGGGAACGUGAGUAUUUCCCACUAGGCUGUUAGUACCAGAUUUAUGCAUAAAUCUAUUUAACCAGCCUUUGAGUUCUUAAGCACUAUAUAAAGAAACCCUGAGGACUGCGUCUUUUACUGUUUGCAGAUACUGCUAACUUUGCACCUUAUGACUUGUAAAAAGUGAAUGUCAGGAACAUUUACUGCUUACUCCAGAAUAGGAAUGUUGUACUUCAAGAAGAAGAUCAGAUAGAAGAUAUAAAAGAGAUACGACAAGAGAAAUUUCCUGUAGAAAUCAGUGGCACGUGCAGCAUAGAGGACUGGCCAGUUCCCUCAGCGCCUUGCCCUGGGUCCAUUCAUGCAAGUGGCCCUUGAAAUGACUGUUAUGGUUCAGAGGAUUCAGUAGAGAGUGCAGACCAGGAAUUUAAAUGAGAAAAAUGUGUGGUUGUUUAGAAGAUUUAAAAAGUCUGACACUAGAGAUUUGAAGCUCGUCUCUGUUGUUAAGGGAUGGGACACUGCGAGUGUGGGAUGAGAAGGCGGGAUCGUGCAGGCUAGCCGUCCCAGUGCACAGGGCUGAAAUCCUCAGCUGUGAUUGGUGCAAAUAUGACCAGCCGUGGACUGCAGUCUCUGAGUUCGGGACCUACCGAACGUCCGACAUCCUGUAGCUCAAAUGAUGGGCCAUUCCUACGCCAUCCGCAGAGUAAAGUUCUACCCAUUUUAUAAGACCAUCUUAGCAUCCUGCUCAUAUGAUUUCACAGUCAGGUUGUGGACUGCUCUUGGGAUGAGACUGUAAAAGUCUUCAUCCCUUCAUGCCUGGCUGCCCUACAGGAGGUCAGUGCACUAUGAGAAAAUGUUGCUGCAAGGCACAGGGGAGCCACGGAUCUGUUUCAAUCACAGAUGCAAAGUUUGCCAAGAUUUCACUGUGGUUUUCGUAAUGUCACUAUUAAAGGAGAACCCGUGGGAUGGAUCAGGAGCACCGUGCGGAUGAGAGGGAAUCUCAUGCUGUCACUGAAUGUAAAAACUGAGUGUGGCAUUAUUAUAAUGUUUCUUAAGUAUAAAAUCAAACUAAAAGUGAGUUUACCUUAAGCAAUGAGGUGCCUUUUUGUUGUCUAAAGCUCACUGGUAGAUCAUGUUGUAUGUGUAUGUUGUUGUUAUUCACUGGUUUGUUAAACUUAUAUUAAUAAAUCAAUGCAAUCUGUCA